AACGAACGCUGGCGGCAGGCUUAACACAUGCAAGUCGAACGCCCUCUUCGGAGGGAGUGGCAGACGGGUGAGUAACGCGUGGGAACCUACCUAUCAGUACGGAACAACUCAGGGAAACUUGUGCUAAUACCGUAUACGUCCUUCGGGAGAAAGAUUUAUCGCUGAUAGAUGGGCCCGCGUUAGAUUAGCUAGUUGGUGAGGUAAUGGCUCACCAAGGCGACGAUCUAUAGCUGGUCUGAGAGGAUGAUCAGCCACACUGGAACUGAGACACGGUCCAGACUCCUACGGGAGGCAGCAGUGGGAAUAUUGGACAAUGGGCGCAAGCCUGAUCCAGCCAUGCCGCGUGAGUGAUGAAGGCCCUAGGGUUGUAAAGCUCUUUCAACGGUGAAGAUAAUGACGGUAGCCGUAGAAGAAGCCCCGGCUAAC
rnacentral:rRNA from 1 species